rnacentral:rRNA from 1 species
GUGUGCCUUGGAGUCUCAGAGAGUUUGAUCCUGGCUUGGGAUGAACGCUGGCGGCGUGCUUAACACAUGCAAGUCGAACGAAGCAUUCCAACUCUUCGGAGGAAGAAAUGACUGAGUGGCGGACGGGUGAGUAACGCGUGGGUAACCUGCCUUAUACAGGGGGAUAACAGUUAGAAAUGACUGCUAAUACCGCAUAACCCGCUAGUACCGCAUGGUACAGACGGAAAAGAUUUAUCGGUAUAAGAUGGACCCGCGUCUGAUUAGCUAGUUGGUGAGGUAAUGGCUCACCAAGGCGACGAUCAGUAGCCGGCUUGAGAGAGUGAACGGCCACAUUGGGACUGAGACACGGCCCAAACUCCUACGGGAGGCAGCAGUGGGGAAUAUUGCACAAUGGGGGAAACCCUGAUGCAGCAACGCCGCGUGAAGGAAGAAGUAUUUCGGUAUGUAAACUUCUAUCAGCAGGAAAGAAAAUGACGGUACCUGACUAAGAAGCCCCGGCUAACUACGUGCCAGCAGCCGC